UUAACUCAGAUUUGUAUGGAGUUUGCUUACGUUUGCCGUUAGGGGCGCUGUUCUAACUCCAUACAAAUUUGAGUUA
rnacentral:pre_miRNA from 1 species